UACAGAGGUCUCAAGCGUUGUUCGGAUUCAUUGGGCGUAAAGGGUGUGUAGGUGGCGCCGUAAGUCGGGUGUGAAAUUUCGGAGCUUAACUCCGAAACUGCAUUCGAUACUGCCGUGCUUGAGGACUGGAGGGGAGACUGGAAUUUACGGUGUAGCGGUGAAAUGCGUAGAUAUCGUAAGGAAGACCAGUGGCGAAGGCGGGUCUCUGGACAGUUCCUGACGCUGAAGCACGAAGGCCAGGGGAGCAAACGGG
rnacentral:rRNA from 1 species